UACAGAGGGGGCGAGCGUUAUUCGGAAUUAUUGGGCGUAAAGGGCGCGUAGGCGGCUUUUCAAGUGACGGGUGAAAUCCCUCGGCUUAACCGAGGAACUGCCUGUCAGACUGGAAGGCUUGAGACCGGGAGAGGUGAGUGGAAUUCCCGGUGUAGCGGUGAAAUGCGUAGAUAUUGGGAGGAACACCAGUGGCGAAGGCGGCUCACUGGACCGGAACUGACGCUGAGGCGCGAAAGCGUGGGGAGCAAACAGG
rnacentral:rRNA from 1 species